CAAGUUGAAAAAAGAUGGCGAAAGAAAGUCGCGGGCUGGCUGCGGGAGUAAAAUAGGAUAGGGAUUCGACAAAGGGACACCGGAACAUUGAUCCCAGCUGAAAAAGGAAGCCGUUGUAAAUAGUCUGUUAUUGCCUCGUAGAUCUUGAACGGCUAGUAAAGAUACUUAUCUUUCGGAAAAAAACAUCAUUUAAACAGGAUGGAAUAUUGCUGCAAAAGUUCGAGUUGGAACCGGUGGAGACACAUUGAAAUACCUCUCGGUCUCCCGUCGAAAAACGUGAAAGUGUAGUUUAUAAAUUAUAUUGCAUGAUGUUAAAAGAGUGUAGUGAUUAGUAUUUAAAAAUUAUCAUAUUAAUGAGAAAUAAAAUGAGAAAUUUUAAAAUUUAAAAUUGA